CAUAUAAGUUCUCACUUCUCCUUAAAUCCCGGAUAAUCCUAAUCAGAGAGAGGAAGUAAUGUGAUUGAGAUUCAAUUGUAAACAUUGUUCCCUAAUGUGUAAUUAAAUCAAGAAAUCAAUUUUUUAACCACUUUGAAUUGUUAAAAUUAUUUUUUUACAAUUUUUUUAUGCUGCAGGUAUGAAAAUUCCUCCACAAAUAUGCAUUAAAAACCAAAUAUGUGUAGAUACUUCUAAAGUUUUUU
rnacentral:lncRNA from 1 species